rnacentral:lncRNA from 13 species
UGGAUCAUCUAAUCAAAGACAGGUUUAAGAUUCUCAGAGUCACAAAGAAAUGCCUAAAUCGCCUUUCAGUAUUAAUUUAGCUUUCUGACACUGAGAUACCCUUGGAGAAACAGCAUUCUUAGGGCUACUUAUUUUCAUGUCAUGCACAUUAUCCUAGCAGUCUUCCUUUCUGCUAUGUUUAUCGUAACUCUCCAAUAUUCAUCUGCAAAGCUGACAUCUAUGGUGGAGUGUAGGACCUGCUACUUUUAUGAUUCUUCAAUAUUUUCUCAGGUCUUUGAAGAAUGGUCACACUGUCUUCCACGACGUUGAACUAAUUUACACUACCACUAAUGGCCAAGAUGGCCAACGAGAAGCAGCAAGUAUGUGUGGUUCUAAUGGAGAGGAACAGAAGGGAGUCUCACUCCGCCACCCAGGCUCACCCAGGCUGGAGAGCAAUGGCGUGGUCUUGGCUCAUUGCAACCUCUGCUUCCCAGAUUCAAGUGAUUCUCCUGCCUCAUCCUCCUGAGUUGCUGGGACUACAGGCACGCACCACCACACUUGGCUACUUUUUUGUAUUUUCAGUAGAGAUGAGGUUUCACCACAUUAGCCAGGCUGGUCUGGAACUCCUGACCUCAGGUGAUUCACCCACCUCAGCCUCCCACACAGUGUUGGGAUUACAGGCAUGAGCCACUGCACCUGCCAGGGGAGGACUUCUUUGGCUGGUACUCUGAAUCCUGGGAUUGGUGCUUUUAUGCAUAUAUUAAUAUGCAUAAAUGUGUAACCAAUGGUAGAAUUGGUCUUCUAAUUAUUGGACAAAUAAUAGGUUGAUUAAGAUAUAAUCCUGAAAUAGCUGAUCAAUAAUUCAGGGAAAAAUAUUUAAAUAUUACAUCACAAUAUACUACAAAAUAAUAUCAUAGAUUUAGAAAGAAAUUAUAACAAACAAAAAAAAGCAUACUUAAAAAGACUAGUAGAAAAGUUAUGUAAAUAUUUACCCUACUCAAGCAUGGGAAAGGUCAUUCUCUGCAUAGAAGCAUAAAAAAACAGAUAAUUAAAUUAUGCUGCACAAAAUUAAGAUAUUCUACAUAUCAAAAAUGCCACAUAAUUAAUAGACAAUCUGAGAAAAAAUAUUUACAAAUAAAUCAAUACAUAGGUAGGGAUAAUUAGAUGUC